rnacentral:tRNA from 1 species
GUAAAUAUAGUUUAAAAAAUAUUAGACUGUGAAUCUAAAGAUAGAAGUAUUAACUUCUUAUUUACC